UUCUCUCUCUAGAUUCCCCAAUAGUGUAUGUAUAUGUGGUGGCCGUCGCUACUGUUUUAUGUGUCCAGCAUCUGCUUCACACCACCAGUUUUUCAUCGCAUGUUAGGAGAGAGAGAGUGAGAACCCCAUCAUCAACCAAGUACACCAAGUACUCAAUAGCCUUAUCAUACCACUCAGAGAGUAGAGUUUUGGUAUCAGUGAUGCCUUGUUUCGCGUUUUUUGCUUUGUGGGGUUUUUGCCUUUUUUUAACUGACCCAAACCCUAGAUGUUCUUUCAGGGGUACGUUUCCUUAAAUGGGUAUUUUUGCUUUGUGCUCUCAGAUCUGACUUUGAAACCUUCUCCUCCUUCUUUUGGCUCUAUUUCAUGCAUUUGGUUUGGUUACCCUAUUUGGAAAAGUAGUACUUGCCGGGAGAGAGAUAGAGCUGACAGAAGAGAGUGAGCACACAAAGGCAAAUUGUACCCAAGCGACUUGUAUGAUUGUUUUGGGUGCUCACUGCUCUAUCUGUCACCUUCAUCCUUUGCUUCUCCUUCCUUCCUUCCUUCCUUCCUUCCCUUUUUCUUCGAGCUUUUCUCACUCGUUUUCUGAAACCAUUUUGUUGAACUAAAUUACAUAUAUAUAUAUUGGGUUUCUUAAUCGGCGAGUGAGACUCAAUAUGACUCGAAUCAUAAAGCAACAACAGCAUAGUUUGGUGUCCGUUGUUGUUGUGAUCUGUUAAUUUGGAUUCUUUCGGCAAAAUGAAUGAUAUGAUGAGGGGGUCGUUGAAGAAACACACCUGAUAUGAUCUUUUGUUAAUUAGUGUGUUUUUUUGGAUAUCAAUACAUAUAAUAAUAGCUAUGGUUAUUGAAUAUUAUAUUAUUAAUAGACUAUAUACUUAAUUAGCAGUAGGGUUUAGUUUGAUGAAAGCGUGACUUUUCAUGGUUUACUGUGCUAAAUCAACGGAAAACUGACAUUAUUAUGUGACUAUUGCCUUAACAGCACGUUAUUUAGGAUGGUCCUCCUCUCUUUCUUUUUCAUUUUUAAUUUCUCUUCGCGCAUGCGAUCUCUGCACUCAGAAAUUUUGAAUCUUGACUGGAUUUGCUGUUCUUGAUCUUGGUCUAUUCCCAGGCUUAAGAUUAUGAACUCCCAGACCACGUCAAGAUUGUAAAGACUGUUGAUAUUCAUCAAUAGAAAUUUUCCAAAAGCAAGACAGCAUAUUGAUCAGUUGAAAAGUACUACAACAUCAAAGAACUUGAGGAUUUUAGGUAGGUUAGAUGGUACUCAUGGUUCUUGGAGAUGAUAUUGGCAUGGCAUCAAAUGCAGAAAUUUUCUGUAGCCCUCAAAUUCCCACUUGCAGCUUCGAGGCAUAUUUGUCAGUGGUGCAAACCUGGAGUCUUUUUCAAGCCUCUUGCAGGUUUCUGCAUUUUUCAAGCAUAGUACUCGACGUGUUUGUAAAUCUAUAUUUUGAGUAGAAUUAAUCCACCAUGUUUAUAAUAUAAUGGAUCGAGUUAUAUGGUGCCACCCCAGGUUUGGAACCCACAGUACGAUGAAAGUUGUAAGCUGUGUUCGGGGGGAGUUAUUGGGUGAUCAAUUUGUUUAGGUGGUGGUUCUUGAAGUGCAAAACGUUCCAUCUUUUCUAAAUAGCUUCUUUCAAAAUGGCUUAUAAGAUGUUGUAUUGUGUGGUCCUA